GAUGAACGCUGGCGGCGUGCCUAAUACAUGCAAGUCGAGCGAACAGACGAGGAGCUUGCUCCUUUGACGUUAGCGGCGGACGGGUGAGUAACACGUAGGUAACCUACCUAUAAGACUGGGAUAACUUCGGGAAACUGGAGCUAAUACCGGAUAAUAUUUCGAACCGCAUGGUUCGAUAGUGAAAGAUGGCUUUGCUAUCACUUAUAGAUGGACCUGCGCCGUAUUAGCUAGUUGGUAAGGUAACGGCUUACCAAGGCAACGAUACGUAGCCGACCUGAGAGGGUGAUCGGCCACACUGGAACUGAGACACGGUCCAGACUCCUACGGGAGGCAGCAGUAGGGAAUCUUCCGCAAUGGGCGAAAGCCUGACGGAGCAACGCCGCGUGAGUGAUGAAGGUCUUCGGAUCGUAAAACUCUGUUAUUAGGGAAGAACAAACGUGUAAGUAACUGUGCACGUCUUGACGGUACCUAAUCAGAAAGCCACGGCUAACUACGUG
rnacentral:rRNA from 1 species